ACGGAGUUAUUCAACUCAUCAACCCUGUGAACAUACCUAAACGUUGCUUCGGCGGGAAUAGACGGCCCCGUGAAACGGGCCGCCCCCGCCAGAGGACCCUUAACUCUGUUUCUAUAAUGUUUCUUCUGAGUAAAACAAGCAAAUAAAUUAAAACUUUCAACAACGGAUCUCUUGGCUCUGGCAUCGAUGAAGAACGCAGCGAAAUGCGAUAAGUAAUGUGAAUUGCAGAAUUCAGUGAAUCAUCGAAUCUUUGAACGCACAUUGCGCCCGCCAGUAUUCUGGCGGGCAUGCCUGUUCGAGCGUCAUUACAACCCUCAGGCCCCCGGGCCUGGCGUUGGGGAUCGGCGGAGCCUCUCUGUGGGCACACGCCGUCCCCCAAAUACAGUGGCGGUCCCGCCGCAGCUUCCAUCGCGUAGUAGCUAACACCUCGCGACUGGAGAGCGGCGCGGCCACGCCGUAAAACACCCAACUCUUCUGAAGUUGACCUCGAAUCAGGUAGGAAUACCCGCUGAACUU
rnacentral:rRNA from 1 species